UGUACGUUUUGCAGUUUUUUUUGCAUGCACCGCAUACAAGAACUUGUGCAAUCUGCUGGUAAAAGCUAAAUAUUAAUAGCAUAUUCAUAAUUUUAAUUAGAGGCAAAAAAGGAGGCUGAAUUUUACGAAAAGUUUAAAGUGCUCGACCACUGUUACUACUCAAACAUUGAAAAGAAAUGUGCCUCGCCAAAGGGUUUACAGCUGAACAACGAGCAGAUGCGGGAGAUGAAGAAAAGUUUGCCAAUGUCGAACUGCCCCCGUAUUCCGGGCGUUUUUAGCAUUGUGCAGCUUUCUCAAUGUUGCCAGAACGAAACUCUGCCAUGGCACGUGAACGAACUGGUUGGAUUUCAGCUAAUCCCACUUCAAUCCCACUUCACUCACUGCUUGCGAUCUGUCAAGGAUUUCGUGAAUGCUUCAGCCACUGGGGCACAAUGUGUGGAAGCAUGUUCUUUUAAUCCGAUCGA